AGCACAGAGUGCUUCGACUUACA
rnacentral:miRNA from 14 species